AAGUCGAACGAACUUCCGUUAAUUGAUYAKGACGUGCUUGCACUGAAUGAGAUUUUAAYAYGAAGUGAGUGGCGGACGGGUGAGUAACACGUGGGUAACCUGCCCAGAAGCAGGGGAUAACACCUGGAAACAGAUGCUAAUACCGUAUAACAGAGAAAACCGCCUGGUUUUCUUUUAAAAGAUGGCUCUGCUAUCACUUCUGGAUGGACCCGCGGCGCAUUAGCUAGUUGGUGAGGUAACGGCUCACCAAGGCGAUGAUGCGUAGCCGACCUGAGAGGGUAAUCGGCCACAUUGGGACUGAGACACGGCCCAGACUCCUACGGGAGGCAGCAGUAGGGAAUCUUCCACAAUGGACGCAAGUCUGAUGGAGCAACGCCGCGUGAGUGAAGAAGGGUUUCGGCUCGUAAAGCUCUGUUGUUAAAGAAGAACGUGGGUGAGAGUAACUGUUCACCCAGUGACGGUAUUUAACCAGAAAGCCACGGCUAACUACGUGCCAGCAGCCGCGGUAAUACGUAGGUGGCAAGCGUUAUCCGGAUUUAUUGGGCGUAAAGCGAGCGCAGGCGGUCUUUUAAGUCUAAUGUGAAAGCCUUCGGCUCAACCGAAGAAGUGCAUUGGAAACUGGGAGACUUGAGUGCAGAAGAGGACAGUGGAACUCCAUGUGUAGCGGUGAAAUGCGUAGAUAUAUGGAAGAACACCAGUGGCGAAGGCGGCUGUCUGGUCUGUAACUGACGCUGAGGCUCGAAAGCAUGGGUAGCGAACAGGAUUAGAUACCCUGGUAGUCCAUGCCGUAAACGAUGAUUACUAAGUGUUGGAGGGUUUCCGCCCUUCAGUGCUGCAGCUAACGCAUUAAGUAAUCCGCCUGGGGAGUACGACCGCAAGGUUGAAACUCAAAAGAAUUGACGGGGGCCCGCACAAGCGGUGGAGCAUGUGGUUUAAUUCGAAGCUACGCGAAGAACCUUACCAGGUCUUGACAUCUUCUGCCAACCUAAGAGAUUAGGCG
rnacentral:rRNA from 1 species